rnacentral:rRNA from 1 species
AUUGAACGCUGGCGGCAGGCCUAACACAUGCAAGUCGAACGAGUGGCGGACGGGUGAGUAAUGUCUGGGAAACUGCCCGAUGGAGGGGGAUAACUAAUGGACACGGUAGCUAAUACCGCAUACCAUCGGAUGUGCCCAGAGGGGAGUAGCUAGUAGGUGGGGUAACGGCUCACCUAGGCGACGAUCCCUAGCUGGUCUGAGAGGAUGACCCGGCACACUGGAACUGAGAUACGGUCCAGAAUCCUCCGGGAGGCAGCAGUGGGGAAUAUUGCACAAUUGGUGCAAGCCUGAUACAGCCAUGCCGCGUGUAUGAAGAAGGCCUUCGGGUUGUAAAGUACUUUCAGCGAGGAGGCGUUACUCGAAGAAGAAGCACCGGCUAACUCCGUGCCAGCAGCCGCGGUAAUUC